UGAAACCGUGUGCUUACAAGUAGUCAGAGCCCGUUAAUGGGUGAUGGCGUGCCUUUUGUAGAAUGAACCGGCGAGUUACGAUUUGAUGCAAGGUUAAGCAGUAAAUGUGGAGCCGUAGCGAAAGCGAGUCUGAAUAGGGCGUUUAGUAUUUGGUCGUAGACCCGAAACCAGGUGAUCUACCCUUGGUCAGGUUGAAGUUCAGGUAACACUGAAUGGAGGACCGAACCGACUUACGUUGAAAAGUGAGCGGAUGAACUGAGGGUAGCGGAGAAAUUCCAAUCGAACCUGGAGAUAGCUGGUUCUCUCCGAAAUAGCUUUAGGGCUAGCCUCAAGUGAUGAUUAUUGGAGGUAGAGCACUGUUUGGACGAGGGGCCCCUCUCGGGUUACCGAAUUCAGACAAACUCCGAAUGCCAAUUAAUUUAACUUGGGAGUCAGAACAUGGGUGAUAAGGUCCGUGUUCGAAAGGGAAACAGCCCAGACCACCAGCUAAGGUCCCAAAAUAUAUGUUAAGUGGAAAAGGAUGUGGCGUUGCCCAGACAACUAGGAUGUUGGCUUAGAAGCAGCCAUCAUUUAAAGAGUGCGUAAUAGCUCACUAGUCGAGUGACACUGCGCCGAAAAUGUACCGGGGCUAAACAUAUUACCGAAGCUGUGGAUUGUCCUUUGGACAAUGGUAGGAGAGCGUUCUAAGGGCGUUGAAGCAUGAUCGUAAGGACAUGUGGAGCGCUUAGAAGUGAGAAUGCCGGUGUGAGUAGCGAAAGACGGGUGAGAAUCCCGUCCACCGAUUGACUAAGGUUUCCAGAGGAAGGCUCGUCCGCUCUGGGUUAGUCGGGUCCUAAGCUGAGGCCGACAGGCGUAGGCGAUGGAUAACAGGUUGAUAUUCCUGUACCACCUAUAAUCGUUUUAAUCGAUGGGGGGACGCAGUAGGAUAGGCGAAGCGUGCGAUUGGAUUGCACGUCUAAGCAGUAAGGCUGAGUAUUAGGCAAAUCCGGUACUCGUUAAGGCUGAGCUGUGAUGGGGAGAAGACAUUGUGUCUUCGAGUCGUUGAUUUCACACUGCCGAGAAAAGCCUCUAGAUAGAAAAUAGGUGCCCGUACCGCAAACCGACACAGGUAGUCAAGAUGAGAAUUCUAAGGUGAGCGAGCGAACUCUCGUUAAGGAACUCGGCAAAAUGACCCCGUAACUUCGGGAGAAGGGGUGCUCUUUAGGGUUAACGCCCAGAAGAGCCGCAGUGAAUAGGCCCAAGCGACUGUUUAUCAAAAACACAGGUCUCUGCUAAACCGUAAGGUGAUGUAUAGGGGCUGACGCCUGCCCGGUGCUGGAAGGUUAAGAGGAGUGGUUAGCUUCUGCGAAGCUACGAAUCGAAGCCCCAGUAAACGGCGGCCGUAACUAUAACGGUCCUAAGGUAGCGAAAUUCCUUGUCGGGUAAGUUCCGACCCGCACGAAAGGCGUAACGAUUUGGGCACUGUCUCAACGAGAGACUCGGUGAAAUCAUAGUACCUGUGAAGAUGCAGGUUACCCGCGACAGGACGGAAAGACCCCGUGGAGCUUUACUGUAGCCUGAUAUUGAAAUUCGGCACAGCUUGUACAGGAUAGGUAGGAGCCUUUGAAACGUGAGCGCUAGCUUACGUGGAGGCGCUGGUGGGAUACUACCCUAGCUGUGUUGGCUUUCUAACCCGCACUACUUAUCGUGGUGGGAGACAGUGUCAGGCGGUCAGUUUGACUGGGGCGGUCGCCUCCUAAAAGGUAACGGAGGCGCUCAAAGGUUCCCUCAGAAUGGUUGGAAAUCAUUCAUAGAGUGUAAAGGCAUAA
rnacentral:rRNA from 1 species